rnacentral:tRNA from 1 species
GAAGUAAGAGGUCUCAAGUAAAAGCUGCUAACUUUUUCCUUUAAUGGUUAAACUCCAUUUAUGCUUCU